ACCGCUGAAUUUAAGCAUAUAAGUAAGUGGUGGAAGAAAAAAUAAACAUGAUUCUUUUAGUAAUGGCGAAUGAACAAAGACAUGGUCAUUUUGAAAAUUGUGGUCUUAGAUCAUGAAUUGUAUUUUCAAAAUGCAUUGCUAACACAACUGCACAUGUUUGUUUAUUGGAAAGAACAUCACAAAGGGUGACAAUCCCAUGUGUCAUGUGUAUGUUUUGUGUACAGCGUGCAUUAUAUGAAUCACAUUCAUUGACAAUUGAAUGCAAAUAGAAUGGUAAAUUUCAUUUAAUCAUAAAUAUGUUGUUGACAACUUAUAGCAAACAAAUACCAUGAGGGAAAUGUGAAAAGGAUUUUGAAAAGAAAAUUAAAAGAGCUUGCAAUUGCUGAACUGAUAAGCAAACAAAACAUACGUGUGUAUGCAAGAUUGUUGUAAUGCUUAGCAUCCUAUGCAAGGCUAUUGCAAUGAUUUUUUGUAUAGUGAUGCUACCUUUUUUUAGAAUUUGGAAUGUCUUUUUUUGAGUGUGAAUGGAAUUUUGUUUGUUAGCAAAGGAAUGCACUUUUAGAUUCAUUGUUUGAUUUGAUUUAAAAAUGUUUGUGACACAUGUCUUUGUUUUAGUUUCAUGCUUCAACCAAGGACAUUGUGUUUGAUCCAUAUCAGCAAUACAUGUUUUGUUUGACCCGUCUUGAAACACGGACAAGG
rnacentral:rRNA from 1 species